GACGAACGCUGGCGGCGUGCCUAAUACAUGCAAGUCGACCUUAGUGGCGAACGGGUGAGUAACACGUGGGUAACCUGCCCAUCAGAAGGGGAUAACACUUGGAAACAGGUGCUCAUACCGUAUACUGAUGGAUGGACCCGCGGUGCAUUAGCUAGUUGGUGAGGGAACGGCUCACCAAGGCCAUGAUGCAUAGCGGAGCUGAGAGGGGGACCGGGCACAUUGGGACUGAGACACGGCCCAGACUCCUACGGGAGGCAGCAGUAGGGAAUAUUGGGCAAUGGACGAAAGUCUGACCGAGCCACGCCGCGUGAGUGAAGAAGGUUUUCGGAUCGUAAAGCUCUGUUGUUAGAGAAGCGGUAUCUAACCAGAAAGCAACGGCUAACUACGUGCCAGCAGCCGCGGUAAUUC
rnacentral:rRNA from 1 species